UGCGGGAAUAGCUCAGUUGGUAGAGCACAACCUUGCCAAGGUUGGGGUCGCGAGUUCGAGCCUCGUUUCCCGCUCC
rnacentral:tRNA from 1 species